CCGGGACCCUCGCUGACCAUCUGGGGCAAGGAAAAACCCCUGAGGACCGGCCGCCAGGUGACCACCCGCCCAGCAGCUUUUUUUUCGCCUGCUGGCAUCUGCCGAAGAGAAAUUGUAAGUGUAUCCCGUGAAAGGUUCUUUCGGGCUUUUUUUUUUUUCUUUGCCGUUUUAAUGCUGGGUGGGGAGUAAAAAAGGAUGGGUAAUCAGACUUCUGUACGGGGACUGACCCCACCUGAGAGGGACUUUUAUAUCCAAGUUGUAAAUACCUUAAAAGCGGGAAAUUUUAAGUUUUCUAAAGGGGAUUUAAAAAGAUUUAUUCAUUGGGUUUUUAAACAUUUUAGAAUUAAUUUGGACUCUGCUAAAUCAGGAAUUUUUUUGGAUAAUGUAGGAAGAAAGUUAUAUACAGUUCAAGUUAAAGGGGAUUUUUCUGUUGCAAAGUUUUUUCCUGUGUUUCAAAGUAUUAUUUUCUCAUUGGAAAAAGAGGGAAAAAAAGAAGAGGGAGUUUUGGGUCCCCAGUUAAACCCCCCAACCCCAUCAGCCCCUCCAGGUGUCCCCGAACCCCUUUCCCUAUCUGAGAGCCAGUUGGGGGGUGGACGUUGCCCCCAGGCACAGAGCUGCUGCCGUCUCUCUGACGCCCCCCUACUGUCUCUCUGCCCGUACCGGGGCAGCAGUGGCCAUGCUGCCCUGGGUCCUUCCUCUACCCUCUCUCCUAUGCCCUCACACCCGGUUGUGUCCCCCCCAGUUCCUAGCAUUAGCACAGCAGGCGCUGGCCACGUGGCCAGCCAUGCCAUUUUGUCCCACUCCCACCCCGGUUUUCCCGCCUUUACCCCUUCUCUUCUGGCCGCGUCCUGCUCCCCCUCCCCCCGCUCUGUGUCGUUGGGUGUAACCGCGUCGGGCCCCACCCCCAUCGGGAAACCCCCCCCCAUCGCAGGCCCUGCUCCUGUCCCUUUGUGCAAGGGCCCCGCCCCCAGCGGCACGCCUGCUCCAGGGACCCUGUGCCCCGGAGGU
rnacentral:lncRNA from 1 species